rnacentral:rRNA from 1 species
AACGAACGCUGGCGGCAGGCCUAACACAUGCAAGUCGAACGCUCGUAGCAAUACGGGAGUGGCGCACGGGUGAGUAACGCGUGGGAACGUGUCCUUUAGUUUGGGAUAACAGCUGGAAACGCCUGUUAGUAACAAAUACGCCCUUCGGGGGAAAGAUUUAUUGCUAAAGGAUCGGCCAGCGUAAGAUUAGGUAGUUGGUGGGUUAAUGGCCUACCAAGCUUACAAUCUUUAGCUGGUCUGAGAGAAUGAUAAGCUACACUGGAACUGAGACACGGUCCAGACUCCUACGGGAGGAAGUGGUAGGGAAUAUGGGACAAUGGGGGAAACCCUGAUCCAGCCAUGCCGAGUGAACGAUGAAGGCCUUAGGGUUGUAAGGUUCUUUUGUCAGGGAAGAUGAUGUCGGUACCUGACAAAUAAGCACCGGCUAACUUCGUGCCAGCCGCCGCCGUAA